rnacentral:rRNA from 1 species
AGGUCAAGUGACUACGGCGCACGGUGGAUGCCUUGGCACUUCGAGCCGAUGAAGGGCGCGGUAUGACUGCGAUAAGCCAGGAGGAGCCGUCAAGCAGGCUGAUCCCUGGAUUCCCGAAUGGGGCAACCCGAUGGCGGUUAUGCGCCAUCACCCCAGGUUGAACACAUAGACCUGGUGGGGGUAAGCGGGGGAAAUGAAACAUCUAAGUACCCCGAGGAACAGAAACAAUUCCGGUAGUAGCGGCGAGCGAACCCGGAGCAGCCCAAACCGGUUGAGCCUAAUGGAGCCCUCUCCUCUGCUCAGCCGGCGUUGUAGGGCGUUGCAUUCGCACCGAGGGUGGUGCGACAGCAGUUACAAACUGCGCGGGUAGGCGAAGGUCCCUGGAACGGGCCGCCACAGACGGUGAGAGCCCGGUAGCCGACACCCGACGCAGCUGCUGGCAGCGUCCCUGAGUACCACGCGACACGGUGAAAGCGCGUGGGAAGCUGGGGAGCCCACUUCCCAAGGCUAAAUACUCGAAGUGACCGAUAGCGGACCAGUACCGUGAGGGAAAGGUGAAAAGAACCCCGGGAGGGGAGUGAAACAGUUCCUGAAACCGUGUGCUUUCAAGCAGUGAGAGGCCCGUAACCGGGCUGAUCGCGUGCCUAUUGAAGAAUGAACCGGUGAGUUACGUUUUGUGGCGAGGUUAAGGCAUUUUGUGCCGCAGCCGCAGCGAAAGCGAGUCUGAACAGGGCGAAGCGAGUCGCAAGACGUAGACCCGAAACCAGGUGAGCUAUCCAUGGGCAGGGUGAAGCUGGGGUAACAGCCAGUGGAGGCCCGAACCUUCUUCAGUUGCAAAUGGAUUGGAUGACCUGUGGGUAGAGGUGAAAUGCCAAGCGAACCUGGCGAUAGCUGGUUCUCCCCGAAAUGCCUUUAGGGGCAGCGUUGUGGGAAGCGACCGUGGAGGUAGGGCUCUGACUGGGUACGGGGGCGGACAGCCUACCAACCCCUAUCAAACCGCGAAUGCCACGGCCGAACCUGCGGCAGUGAGACUGUGGGGGAUAAGCUUCAUGGUCAAAAGGGAAACAGCCCAGACCGCCGGCUAAGGUCCCGAAAUUUCCGCUCAGUGGGAAAGGAAGUCCAGUCGCGCAGACAACCAGGAGGUUGGCUUAGAAGCAGCCAUCCUUGAAAGAGUGCGUAAUAGCUCACUGGUCGAGUGAUUGGGCGCCGACAAUUCAACGGGGCUCAAGCGGAAUACCGAAGCCGCGGAUCUGGCUCUCAGUUCGCUGGGAGUCAGGUGGUAGGGGAGCGUUCCGUUCAGCAGUGAAGGCGGACCCGCGAGGGCCGCUGGAGCGGACGGAAGUGAGAAUGCCGGUAUGAGUAGCGAAAGGCGUGUGAGAACCACGCCCACCGAAUACCUCAGGGUUCCUACGGCAGGGCAAUCCGCGUAGGGUUAGGCGGGCCUAAGCCGAGGCCGAAAGGCGUAGGCGAUGGACAGACGGUUCAUAUUCCGUCCCCGCUGAGUGUGUGCCUGAGCGACAGGGGUGACCCGGGAAGAUAGCGUGAGCGGGCCUAUUGGACAUGGUCCGUCGCGCCGCGUACGCGUCGAGCGGGGUUCAAAGACCGCUCGGUUAAGCAGAGGCGGCGCGGAAGCGGCGACGUCAGUCAAAGCGACUCGUGUGACACCCUCGGCCAGAAAACCCUCGGUCGCGAAUACAUUCAGCGCCCGUACCGCACACCGACACAGGUAGGUGAGGGUAAGUACCUCCAGGUGGACGAGUGAUUCCUCGCUAAGGAACUCGGCAAAAUCGCUCCGUAACUUCGGGAGAAGGAACGCCUCGCGGCUGGUCCCCGACUCGCUCGGGCGAACGGCCGGAGGUCGCAGUGAGCAGGCCCAGGCGACUGUUUAACAAAAACACAGGUCUCUGCGAACGCGUAAGCGGAUGUAUAGGGGCUGACGCCUGCCCAGUGCCGGAAGGUUAAGGAGAGCGGUGCAAGCCGCGAACCGAAGCCCCGGUGAACGGCGGCCGUAACUAUAACGGUCCUAAGGUAGCGA